rnacentral:rRNA from 1 species
GGAAUUUUCCGCAAUGGGCGAAAGCCUGACGGAGCAACGCCGCGUGAGGGAUGAAGGCCUCUGGGCUGUAAACCUCUUUUCUCAAGGAAGAAGAUCUGACGGUACUUGAGGAAUAAGCCACGGCUAAUUCCGUGCCAGCAGCCGCGGUAAUACGGGAGUGGCAAGCGUUAUCCGGAAUUAUUGGGCGUAAAGCGUCCGCAGGCGGCCCAUCAAGUCUGCUGUUAAAAAGUGGAGCUUAACUCCAUCAUGGCAGUGGAAACUGUUGGGCUAGAGUGUGGUAGGGGCAGAGGGAAUUCCCGGUGUAGCGGUGAAAUGCGUAGAUAUCGAGAAGAACACCAGUGGCGAAGGCGCUCUGCUGGGCCAUAACUGACGCUCAUGGACGAAAGCCAGGGGAGCGAAAGGGAUUAGAUACCCCAGUAGUC